AUUGAACGCUGGCGGCAGGCCUAACACAUGCAAGUUGAGCGGCGCGGUGGACGGGUGAGUAAUGCCUAGGUAUCUGCCUGGUAGUGGGGGAUCACGUCCGGUAACGGGCGCUAAUACCGCAUACUAUCAGAUGAGCCUCGGUCCGAUGAGCUAGUUGGUGGGGUAAUGGCCUAACAAGGCCACGAUCCGUAACUGGUCUGAGAGGAUGAUCAGUCACACUGGAACUGAGACACGGUCCAGACUCCUACGGGAGGCAGAAGUGGGGAAUAUUGGACAAUGGGCGAAAGCCUGAUCCAGCCAUGGCGCAUGUGUGAAGAAGGGCUUCGGAUUGUAAAGCACUUGAAGUUGGGAGGCAUUACCAACAGAAUAAGCACCGGCUAACUUCGUGCCAGCAGCCGCGGUAAUUC
rnacentral:rRNA from 1 species